GAACGGGUGAGUAACACGUAGGCAACCUGCCCAUGACACGGGGAUAGCUUCGGGAAACCGGAGGUAAUACCCGAUACCUUUACUUAUUGCAUGAUAAGUAAAGAAAGCGAAUAGCGGUCAUGGAUGGGCCUGCGUCCCAUUAGCUAGUUGGUGAGAUAACAGCCCACCAAGGCGACGAUGGGUAGCCGACCUGAGAGGGUGACCGGCCACACUGGAACUGAGACACGGUCCAGACUCCUACGGGAGGCAGCAGUGGGGAAUCUUGCGCAAUGGGCGAAAGCCUGACGCAGCGACGCCGCGUGAGCGAAGAAGGCCUUCGGGUCGUAAAGCUCAGUCAUUGGGGAUGAGAUGACAGUACCCAAGGAGGAAGCCCCGGCUAACUACGUGCCAGCAGCCGCGGUAAUACGUAGGGGGCGAGCGUUGUCCGGAAUUACUGGGUGUAAAG
rnacentral:rRNA from 1 species